AUGUUGGGAAAACCUCUUCCAGCCCGACCACAGCUGCUCCUACCAAUGCCACAUCCACAAGUCAAAGCAAAGAAAAAGUCAUGGCUCCUGUACCCACAGCCCUGCAUGUUGAGGAGGAAGAAGCACUUUCCUCCAUUCAAGGUCUUACUGCCUAUGUCCACUCCCCUAACACAGUGGAUGACAGGCCAGAGAUUGACAUUAGAAAAGAUGCUGGGGUGGGAUCUACACAAGAUGCGGCAGGAGUUCAUGACCAACAGCGAUCUGUCCACAAUAAGAGGGCGUGGCCUGUCAGCAAGUCAUGCUCUUCUCUCCACUCAUCCAAGUGACUCCGUCCUCGACCAAACGAGAGGAAAUCGCGUAAUGGAGCAUCAGCGCUUGAGGAUCAGCAACAACGUCCCUGACUUUGGAGGUCUUUCUACUCCAAGAACUCUUAGAUUAUCCCCAGGGAAUUCUCAUUUUUCUGGGGUCUUUUGGGAAUUCCCCUAACCUCUGAACUCUUUCCAAUACCAAUACAUGUAAUUCACUUACGUUACACUUGUUGGAGAACUGUGCAUUGAAAUUACAACCAUUAUUAGGGAUAAUGGCUCAUCUGAAAAGUGACGUGUUGGUUAUUUCCAUUCCAGUUUUAUUUCAGUCUAAUUCAUUCUACAUCUUCCUAUCAGCCUUUGAAAAGGAUGACCUAAUAGACCUCUGUGCUGUAUGUACCUGCAUGUUGUUUUAAGGUGGUGUAUAGCCAGUCAAAAGAAAACAUCUAUUCAAAGCCAUGCUUGCUUCAUUGUAAUACAUACAUGUACAUACAUACACACAGUACCAGUCAAAUGUUUGGACACAGCUGCUCCUUCAAGGGUUUUUCUUUAUUUUUACUGUUUUAUACACUAGAAUAAUAGUGAAGACAUCAAAAACAUGAAAUCACACAUAUGGAAUCAUGUAGUAACCCAAAAAGUGUUAAACAGAUCUAAAUCUAUUUUAUAUUUGAGAUUCUUCAAAGUAGCCAUCCUUAGCCUUGAUGACAGCUUUGCACACUCUUGGCAUUCUCUCAACCAGCUUCAUGAGGAAUGCUUUUCCAACAGUCUUGAAGGAGAUCCCACAUAUGCUGAGCACUUCUUGGCUGCUUUUCCUUCACUCUGCAGUCCAACUCAUCCCAAACCAUCUCAAGUGGGUUGAGGUUGGGUGAUUGUAGAGGCCAGGUCAUCUGAUGCAGCACUCCACCACUCUCCUCCUUGGUCAAAUAGCCCUUCCACACCCUGGAGGUGUGUUUUGGGAUAUUGUCCUGUUGAAAAACAAAUUAUAGUCCCACUAAGCGCAAACCAGAUGGGAUGGCGCAUUGCUCCAGAAUCCUGUGGUAGCCAUGCUGGUUAAGUGUGCCUUGAAUUCUAAAUAAAUCACUGACAGUGUCACCAAUAAAGAACCCCAACACCACCUCCAUGGUUCACAGUAGGAACCACACAUGCGGAGAUCAUCCGUUCACCUACUCUGUGUCUCACAAAGACAAGGCUGUUGGAACCAAAAAUCUCAAAUUUGGAGUCAUCAGACCGAAGGACAGAUUGGUGUAAUGUCCAUUGCUCGUGUUUCUUGGCCCAAUCAAGUCUUUUCUUCUUAUUGGUGUCCUUUAGUAGUGGUUUCUUUGCAGCAAUUCAACCAUAAAGGCCUGAUUCACGCAGUCUCCUCUGAACAGUUGAUGUUGAGAUGUGUCUGUUACUUGAAGUCUGAAGCAUUUAUUUGGGCUGCAAUCUAAUGAAUUUAUCUUCUGCAGCAGUGGUAACUCUGGGUCUUCCAUUCCCAUGGCGGUCAGCAUGAGAGCCAGUUUCAUCAUAGCGCUUGAUGGUUUUUGCAACUGCACUUGAAGAAACGUUCAAGGUUCUUGAUUGACUGACCUUCAUGUCUUAAAGUAAUGAUGGACUGUAAUUUCUCUUAUUAUUUGAGCUGUUUUUGCCAUAAUAUGGAUUUGGUCUUUUACCAAAUCUUCUGUGUAGCACCCCUACCUUGUCAAAACACAACUGAUUGGCUCAAAUGCAUUAAGAAGGAAAGAAAUUCCACAAAUGAACUUUUAACAAGGCACACCUGUUCAUUGAAAUGCAUUCCAGGUGACUACCUCAUGAAGCUGGUUGAGAGAAUGCCAAGAGUGCGCAAAGCUGCCAUCAUGGUAAAAGGUGUCUACUUUGAAGAAUCUUAAAUAUAACAUAUAUUUUGAUUUGUUUAACACUUUUUUUGUUUACUACACGAUUCCAUAUGUGUUUUAUCAUCGUUUUGAUGUCUUCACUAUUAUUCUACGAUGUAAAAAAUAAGGGAAACCCCUUGAAUGAAUGUGUCCAAACUUUUGACAACUACUGCAUAUGUUCAUGUUCAUUAUAAUUCCAUGUAAUUCUGUGUAAUUUUAAAAUGAAAGGGAUUUGACAAAAAAAAAAUGCAUUUUGUGAAUGUGUUUUUAAAGGAUCAAAACUGUGAGGGGAUUAUUUUAUUUUUCAAACUAAUGGUAUCUGAGCAUGUUUCAAGGGUAUAUCUAGAUUUUCAGUGAGUGAGCAAUUGUUAUAUUACCAGUGAAUAACUGGGGGGUAUAUGUACAUGUGUAGCAUAUAUUUCAACUAAGUGGAGGCUUACUUUUGCACAAAACACGGCCCAAAAAUUCCAAUAAACCAGUAGUAGCCCAUAGCUUUUAGACAAUAUGAGCAGAGAACUUUACACACGAUCUUUGCUGAUGUAAACAUGCAGUCAAGAGGAGGGCCAGGCAGAAAUAAACAGGGUACUGCGGUUUUUAACUACCGCCAUGACACGAGUAAACGCGCAAUAGACAUCCUCACUUUGGAUAGGCUACUGCUUGGCUUGAGUGAAUUUCCCGACACUUUUAAUUGAUAUCAUAAUGUGUGUUUAACAUCAAUAGCAUUAUUAUUUGUUUCAAUUAUUUUGUUUCAAUUCUUUAUUUCAAUCGAAUAUGGCUCAGAAUUUAGGAGUUUUACGGCACACUCAGCGUCACUUGAGGACGUCGGAGCACAUAAGAGACUUAUCUCCUACGCCAAAGUUAGUAGUUGCACUGCGGCCAGCCAGGUAGCUUACGUAGCCUUCACCGCUUGAUUGCUGCGGCUCUUUCCAUCACUGGCGCGUCUAAUUUUAAGACCUGGAAUAGGCUACUUGUUUAAUAACACCUAUUUACCUAUAGCCAAUAAAUUAUUUGAUUUGUUUUCCGGUUUUCUUAUUAUGUCUUGGUGGAACGCAUAAGCUAAAUCGUCAUAGGUUAAGGCUAUUUAGGGAUAGUUUUAGAGCAAGUUGGCUAUUAUUUGCAUCAGCAGUUAGCUUUCAAGCU
rnacentral:lncRNA from 1 species